GGGUAACCUACCCUAUGCUGGGGGAUAAGCUCGGGAAACUGAGAAUAAUACCCCAUAGUCCACUACGCCUGGAACGGUGAGUGGAUCAAAGCUCCGGCGGCAUAGGAUGGGCCUGCGGCGUAUCAGGUUGUAGGGGGUGUAACGUACCCUCUAGCCAUCCACGCGUACGGGUGUUGGGAGACAUUGCCCGGAGAUGGAUUCUGAGACACGAAUCCAGACCCUACGGGGUGCAGCAGGCGCGAAAACUUGGCAAUGCGAGAAAUCGUGACCAGGGAACUCCAAGUGGCAGGGGUAAGACCCUGUCUUUUUCCGACUCUAAAUAGGUCGGCGAAUAAGGGGUGGGUAAGGACGGUGCCAGCCGCCGCGGUAAUACCGGCGCCUCAAGUGGUAGUCGCUUUUAUUGGGCCUAAAACGUCCGUAGCCGGUCUGAUACAUUCGUGGGUAAAUCAACCAGCUCAACUGGUUGAAUUCUGCGAGGACGGUCAGACUUGGGACCGGGAGAGGUGUGGGGUACGCUCAGGGUAGGGGUAAAAUCCUGUCAUCCUGAGCGGACCACCUGUUGCGAAGGCGCCACACUAGAACGGAUCCGACGGUCAGGGACGAAGCCUAGGGGCACGAACCGGAUUAGAUACCCGGGUAGUCCUAGGUGUAAACGCUGUGGACUUGAUGUUGGGGGUGCUCCGAGCACUCUCAGUGUC
rnacentral:rRNA from 1 species